GCGCUGGUAGUCUAGCCUGGUGUCCCUUCUAGGGCAAUAGGACAUAGGCCUUCCAAGCCUAAAACCCGGGUUCAAAGCGAACCUUUUCCGGACGGAAGUGGCGUAUGACGCAUACGCAGUAUGCGUCCAUUGAAACUUCCACAAAAGUCUCGCCACCCAAAAGGUCCGUGAAAAUCCCGGCCAGCGCA
rnacentral:tRNA from 1 species